AAGAGUACCUGAAACCGUGUGCUUACAAGUAGUCAGAGCCCGUUAAUGGGUGAUGGCGUGCCUUUUGUAGAAUGAACCGGCGAGUUACGUUUACAUGCGAGGUUAAGAUGAAGAGUCGGAGCCGUAGCGAAAGCGAGUCUGAAUAGGGCGCAUGAAGUAUGUGGACGUAGACCCGAAACCAAGUGAUCUACCCAUGUCCAGGUUGAAGGUGCGGUAAAACGCACUGGAGGACCGAACCAGGGCACGUUGAAAAGUGCUUGGAUGAGGUGUGGGUAGCGGAGAAAUUCCAAUCGAACUUGGAGAUA
rnacentral:rRNA from 1 species